GAUGAACGCUGGCGGCGUGCCUAAUACAUGCAAGUCGAGCGAACGGACGAGAAGCUUGCUCCUCUGACGUUAGCGGCGGACGGGUGAGUAACACGUGGAUAACCUACCUAUAAGACUGGGAUAACUUCGGGAAACCGGAGCUAAUACCGGAUAAUAUAUUGAACCGCAUGGUUCAAUAGUGAAAGACGGUUUUGCUGUCACUUAUAGAUGGAUCCGCGCUGCAUUAGCUAGUUGGUAAGGUAACGGCUUACAAAGGAACCGAUGCUUAGCCGACCUGAUGGGUGAUCGGCCACACUGGAACUGAGACACGGUCCAGACUCCUACGGGAGGCAGCAGUAGGGAAUCUUCCGCAAUGGGCGAAAGCCUGACGGAGCAACGCCGCGUGAGUGAUGAAGGUCUUCGGAUCGUAAAACUCUGUUAUUAGGGAAGAACAAAUGUGUAAGUAACUAUGCACGUCUUGACGGUACCUAAUCAGAAAGCCACGGCUAACUACGUG
rnacentral:rRNA from 1 species